rnacentral:rRNA from 1 species
CCUACGGGGGGCAGCAGUAGGGAAUCUUUCACAAUGGGCGAAAGCCUGAUGGAGCAACGCCGCGUGCAGGAUGAAGGCCUUCGGGUUGUAAACUGCUUUUAUAAGCGAGAAAUAUGAUGGUAACUUAUGAAUAAGGAUCGGCUAACUACGUUCCAGCAGCCGCGGUCAUACGUCGGACCCUAGCAUUAUCAGGGGUGGCUGUGUGUAAAGAGUUGCGUAGGUGGCAUAAUAAGUAGCUAGUGAAAUCUGGUGGCUCAACCAUUCAGACUAUUAGCUAAACUGUUAAGCGCGAGACCGUUAGAGGUAACUGGAAUUUCUAGUGUAGGAGUGAAAUCCGUAGAUAUUAGGAGGAACACCAAUAGCGUAGGCAGGUUGCUGGGACGGUUCUGACACUAAGGCACGAAAGCGUAGGGAGCAAACGGGAUUAGAUACCCCUGUAGUC